UACCUGAAGAAUAAGCACCGGCUAACUACGUGCCAGCAGCCGCGGUAAUACGUAGGGUGCGAGCGUUAAUCGGAAUUACUGGGCGUAAAGCGGGCGCAGACGGUUACUUAAGCAGGAUGUGAAAUCCCCGGGCUCAACCCGGGAACUGCGUUCUGAACUGGGUGACUCGAGUGUGUCAGAGGGAGGUGGAAUUCCACGUGUAGCAGUGAAAUGCGUAGAGAUGUGGAGGAAUACCGAUGGCGAAGGCAGCCUCCUGGGAUAACACUGACGUUCAUGUCCGAAAGCGUGGGUAGCAAACAGGAUUAGAUACCCUGGUAGUCCACGCCCUAAACGAUGUCAAUUAGCUGUUGGGCAACUUGAUUGCUUGGUAGCGUAGCUAACGCGUGAAAUUGACCGCCUGGGGAGUACGGUCGCAAGAUUAAAACUCAAAGGAAUUGACGGGGACCCGCACAAGCGGUGGAUGAUGUGGAUUAAUUCGAUGCAACGCGAAGAACCUUACCUGGUUUUGACAUGUGCGGAAUCCUCCGGAGACGGAGGAGUGCCUUCGGGAGCCGUAACACAGGUGCUGCAUGGCUGUCGUCAGCUCGUGUCGUGAGAUGUUGGGUUAAGUCCCGCAACGAGCGCAACCCUUGUCAUUAGUUGCCAUCAUUCGGUUGGGCACUCUAAUGAGACUGCCGGUGACAAGCCGGAGGAAGGUGGGGAUGACGUCAAGUCCUCAUGGCCCUUAUGACCAGGGCUUCACACGUCAUACAAUGGUCGGUACAGAGGGUAGCCAAGCCGCGAGGCGGAGCCAAUCUCACAAAACCGAUCGUAGUCCGGAUUGCACUCUGCAACUCGAGUGCAUGAAGUCGGAAUCGCUAGUAAUCGCAGGUCAGCAUACUGCGGUGAAUACGUUCCCGGGUCUUGUACACACCGCCCGUCACACCAUGGGAGUGGGGGAUACCAGAAGUAGGUAGGGUAACCGCAAGGAGCCCGCUUACCACGGUAUGCUUCAUGACUGGGGUGAAGUCGUAACAAGGUAGCCGUAGGGGAACCUGCGGCUGGAUCACCUCCUUUCUAG
rnacentral:rRNA from 1 species